AUAGUGAACCAGUACCGUGAGGGAAAGGCGAAAAGAACCCCGGCGAGGGGAGUGAAAAAGAACCUGAAACCGUGUACGUACAAGCAGUGGGAGCACAGGUUUACCUGUGUGACUGCGUACCUUUUGUAUAAUGGGUCAGCGACUUAUAUUCUGUAGCAAGGUUAACCGAAUAGGGGAGCCGGAGGGAAACCGAGUCUUAACUGGGCGUUAAGUUGCAGGGUAUAGACCCGAAACCCGGUGAUCUAGCCAUGGGCAGGUUGAAGGUUGGGUAACACUAACUGGAGGACCGAACCGACUAAUGUUGAAAAAUUAGCGGAUGACCUGUGGCUGGGGGUGAAAGGCCAAUCAAACCGGGAGAUAGCUGGUUCUCCCCGAAAGCUAUUUAGGUAGCGCCUCGUGAAUUCAUCUCCGGGGGUAGAGCA
rnacentral:rRNA from 1 species